GCUAUGUCAGACAAAACCAAUUGAGCCACUUUCUCCAAGCAAGUUGACAACAUGAGGAUAUUGAGGGGUUUGUAACAACUAUAACAACAACUACCUGAGUCAAGUAGAAUUUAUUGUCAUUGUAACCCAGGCCAUUAGUAAAUCUUACAAAGUUCAUUAUAAUAUGAGAUCAUGCCACCUACAAGUAACCCAUGUAUACAGUUACUUAUUAACCCUUUGGAAAAUGUCUCACUGGAAUUUAAUUGGAUUCCAAAUUAAUUUUCUAUUGCAGUCAUUAUUGCUAACGGUCACCUAAGUACCUGAAAUCUCCUCCAUCAAGGUUGUUCCUUUAAUUUUAGGAGAAAUCCUUUUAUUUGAGAAAGGUAGUCUACUAAGGCACUUGAUAGAGUUAGUUUAUCAGAUUUGUUAGCCAAUCUUUUCUUUCCUGAGAGGUCUUGUGCUUCACUCAGAAUCUCUUUAGGAAACUGAUGGCAUUUCAAACUGAGUAAUUGAGGAUAUUUUAGUAGCAGGGCUGUUUACAAAGUUUAGGAAAAGCAGGAAGGGCUGGGACAGUGACAAUGCCUCCGUCUAGUAACACUGGGGUGCAGGUUGGAGGGAGCAGGCAGUUACUGGCACCUGAAGCCAUAGCUCUAUGAAGAAGGCUCCCUGACAAUUGCUGUGACAUUUGGUGGAGGGAUGGAGCAAGGAGUGACAUGGAGAAUAAAUAUCUGGCUUCACUCUUCUCUGUUAUCUACUGCUGAACUAAACAUGAACUAAACCCAAGCAAAACUGGAGGGUGAGGAAGCCCACUGGUACAAUUAGUGAUUUUAUAUAUAUGUGUGUGUAUGUAUACAC
rnacentral:lncRNA from 1 species